rnacentral:ncRNA from 1 species
GGGCACCUGCGGACUUCGGUCGAGGGGCCUUACAACAUGAGGCAGGGCAACCUGCCGCAAAGCAACGGAAGACAGAAA